GCCAGCAUGGUGCAGUGGUCUGAAUGCUGGACUAUGAUUCUGGAGACCAGGGUUCGAAUCCUGCCUCUGCUA
rnacentral:tRNA from 1 species